UUGGCACCUUCGACGCGAUUUUAGAGCUUGGUGAGCAUACAAAAACAGCGAAUAUUGUGAUUAAUUGUCGUCUGUCGAAUUCUAGUUCGAGAUUAAAGCUUUGCCGUGCGAAUAUUGUCGACAAUGGAGGUCGCUGAAGGGAAAUUAAAGACAAAACUCAUUCAAUUAAACAUAACAACGAAUAGAACAAAGUCUAUUGUGGAUAAUGGUCAAGCUGAAGCAAUAGAAAGACAUCUAAAAAC